rnacentral:tRNA from 1 species
CCCUUGCUGGCCUGGUGGCUAAGAUUCCUGAUUCUCAUCCAGGCUAUCCAGGUUCAAUUCCUGGGCUGGGAA